rnacentral:rRNA from 1 species
AUUGAACGCUGGCGGCAGGCCUAACACAUGCAAGUCGAGCGGAUGAAGGGAGCUUGCUCCUGGAUUCAGCAGCGGACGGGUGAGUAAUGCCUAGGAAUCUGCCUGGUAGUGGGGGAUAACGUCCGGAAACGGGCGCUAAUACCGCAUACGUCCUGAGGGAGAAAGUGGGGGAUCUUCGGACCUCACGCUACCAGAUGAGCCUAGGUCGGAUUAGCUAGUUGGUGGGGUAAAGGCCUACCAAGGCGACGAUCCGUAACUGGUCUGAGAGGAUGAUCAGUCACACUGGAACUGAGACACGGUCCAGACUCCUACGGGAGGCAGCAGUGGGGAAUAUUGGACAAUGGGCGAAAGCCUGAUCCAGCCAUGCCGCGUGUGUGAAGAAGGUCUUCGGAUUGUAAAGCACUUUAAGUUGGGAGGAAGGGCAGUAAGUUAAUACCUUGCUGUUUUGACGUUACCAACAGAAUAAGCACCGGCUAACUUCGUG